AUUGAACGCUGGCGGCAUGCCUUACACAUGCAAGUCGAACGGUAACGGGUCCUUCGGGAUGCCGACGAGUGGCGAACGGGUGAGUAAUAUAUCGGAACGUGCCCAGUAGUGGGGGAUAACUGCUCGAAAGAGCAGCUAAUACAGCAUACGACCGGAGGGUGAAAGGGGGGGGUCGCAAGAACUAGCGCUAUUGGAGGGGCCGAUAUCAGAUUAGCUAGUUGGUGGGGUAAAGGCCUACCAAGGCAACGAUCUGUAGUUGGUCUGAGAGGACGACCAGCCACACUGGGACUGAGACACGGCCCAGACUCCUACGGGAGGCAGCAGUGGGGAAUUUCGGACAAUGGGCGCAAGCCUGAUCCAGCAAUGCCGCGUGCAGGAAGAAGGCCUUCGGGUUGUAAACUGCUUUUGUCAGGGAAGAAAUCUUCUGGGCUAAUACCCCGGGAGAAUGACGGUACCUGAAGAAUAAGCACCGGCUAACUACGUGCCAGCAGCCGCGGUAA
rnacentral:rRNA from 1 species